UACGAAGGGGGCUAGCGUUGCUCGGAAUUACUGGGCGUAAAGGGCGCGUAGGCGGCACACACAGUCAGGCGUGAAAUUCCUGGGCUCAACCUGGGGGCUGCGCUUGAUACGUGUGAGCUAGAGGACGGGAGAGGCUCGUGGAAUUCCCAGUGUAGAGGUGAAAUUCGUAGAUAUUGGGAAGAACACCGGUGGCGAAGGCGGCGAGCUGGCCCGUAACUGACGCUGAGGCGCGACAGCGUGGGGAGCAAACAGG
rnacentral:rRNA from 1 species